UACGGAGGGUGCGAGCGUUGUCCGGAAUCACUGGGCGUAAAGGGCGCGUAGGCGGCAUGCCAAGCGUGUGGUGAAAGCCCGGGGCUCAACCCCGGGUCGGCCGUGCGGACUGGCGUGCUCGAGCACUGUAGAGGCAGGCGGAAUUCCGGGUGUAGCGGUGGAAUGCGUAGAGAUCCGGAAGAACACCGGUGGCGAAGGCGGCCUGCUGGGCAGUUUAGCUGACACUGAGGCGCGACAGCGUGGGGAGCAAACAGG
rnacentral:rRNA from 1 species